UUCUAUUUGCACCGCUGCGGUUUCAAAAUGUAAGCGAAAGCUGAAAUGAAUUAAAAGGGAACUCCGUGAAAGUCGGAGGCAGUUCCCGCUGCUGUAAGCCGAAUUUCUUUCAUUUUUUUUGAAAGAAAUAAGAUUUAAUCUAAUCCACUGUUGCCAAUAGCGCGAUGGGAAGGAAAAUCAAAAUCGGUGAGCCAGAAGACCUGCCAUAGCAAAACAAACAUU
rnacentral:ncRNA from 2 species